rnacentral:rRNA from 1 species
UGGGGAAUAUUGCACAAUGGAGGGAACUCUGAUGCAGCGACGCCGCGUGAACGAAGAAGGCUUUCGAGUCGUAAAGUUCUUUUAUAUGGGAAGAUAAUGACGGUACCAUAAGAAAAAGCCCCGGCUAACUACGUGCCAGCAGCCGCGGUAAUACGUAGGGGGCUAGCGUUGUCCGGAAUCACUGGGCGUAAAGGGUUCGCAGGUGGAAAUGCAAGUCAGGUGUAAAAGGCAGUAGCUUAACUACUGUAAGCAUUUGAAACUGCAUAUCUUGAGAAGAGUAGAGGUAAGUGGAAUUUUUAGUGUAGCGGUGAAAUGCGUAGAUAUUAAAAAGAAUACCGGUGGCGAAGGCGACUUACUGGGCUCAUUCUGACGCUGAGGAACGAAAGCGUGGGUAGCAAACAUG